GCCAACGUGGUGUAGUGGUUUGAGUACUGGACUAUGACUCUAGAGGCCAGGGUUUAAAUUCCGGCUUGGCC